GGUCCAGAUUUUGAGGCCAUAGCAGAAGCACACAUGGUGCAUCCCUGUCAGAUUCCAGUGAAUCUGCAAAUUCUGCU
rnacentral:ribozyme from 1 species